AAUUUAACCUUGCCACCACAACCUUACCUAUUUCAGAAGCAGAAAUGUUGAAUGAAACCACUUCACCCUCUUCAUCUUCUUCACCAGAAUCACCUCCCUACUACAACAUUCCCUCAGAUACUGAACCAUCUGACCCUUCCUCUCCCACUCUGGCCCAGCUCCAAACUCGUGCUCUGGCCUCACAACAGGCAACACCACCCACACCUGAACCAGAAGUCAAUUCAUCACCCAAAGAACAACAAAACCCAACCACAUCUGACCCUCCACCAUCUGAAACACCUAACGCUGAAACUCAACCAAAC
rnacentral:lncRNA from 1 species